rnacentral:rRNA from 1 species
GUGACCUCGGAUCAGGUAGGGAUACCCGCUGAACUUAAGCAUAUCAAUAAGCGGAGGAA